GUUUACAGUUCAUUGAGGUACCAGAUCCUGUCUGAUAUUGGAAGCUAAGCAGGGUCAGCCAUGGUUAGUAUUUGGAUGGGAGACCACAAACAAAUAUCGAGUGUUGUAAGCU
rnacentral:rRNA from 1 species